AUUUCAGCCUGUUUCUCCAGAACUCCCUGUUGGCUCAGUCCUACGUGGGUUUACUGCACAGGUCUGUGGCCCAACAUGUAUGAACCAUACUCCAUCUGUGAGGGGCAUCUCUACCCUCUCAGUCACUAAGGUUGGAAAUUUCCAAGUUAUCUAGGACUCCUGCCUCUUCCUCGCUUCCCACAGUUUGUCACCAAAAACUCUGGAGUCCAUACCCUCCUCUCAGCAGCUGCUGGCCAGGUUCGGUCUUCAUUCCCUCUCACAUGGACUCUGCCUCUAGUGUCCCCUCCCAGCAAG
rnacentral:lncRNA from 1 species